CUGAACAAUUAAAGAAUAAUCUAUUGGAGUCAUCACCAAGUUUUUGAAUUUACUCAACAUGAGUACAGAAAUGAGCUGUGUAUUCUGGAGUACAGUGAUGGCAGUAGUCACACUAAGUGCUGCUGCUGCUGCUGUGUACAAAGGCCAGUGUCUCUGUAUGGAAGUAGAGCACCAUGUUCACGGCUAAGAAGACCAGGAGGUUAAACCAGCACUGUAAUAUUCUAGGCUAACCCUUCCUUUUGGUCACCGCACUCAAAACGAUGAAUUGCAGUGGUAUGAGAAUGUGUGCGACUGGUGUCUCCUSUUUGCUUUGGGAGAUGGAUGACAUGAGCAGAGCAGUCCAAAGCCACAGUGCACAGGAGAAUCUGGUCCAUUGUGCAAAGUUUUAGCUGUGCCAAAUCAUAAUAUUGGCAAAAUGAUCAGACCGUUAACCUAAAAAUGAGUUCCUGAUUAUUAAAUGUAUGUGUUACAUGCAUAAUACAGAACAACAUUUAUUGAGAUUGUAAAAUAUGUUUAGGUUUUGUUCUCAGGAUAAGUCAUAUUAAAGGAAAGUAUGUACAGAGAAACAGUGUGUGAAAAAGGAUAUUUAAGCACAUGGACAUGUAUUAACACUCACUGAGGUUUUUACCAUUCACGACAUACUGCAAGAUUC
rnacentral:lncRNA from 1 species